UACUGUUAUUUUUACGUUCCGAAGAGCUUUGCUUUUGUUUUUAAAUAAACAGCGUGACAGUGUGUGUUCAUUUAGAAUCACCCUCUGCACCUCCUGACUGUGUGCUCUGCUGGACGCUGCUGUUCAGUGUGUGUCCUGUGUGUGUUCUCCUCUCUUCACUCCUGUCCUCCAUCUGUGUGUUCUGCUUCUGUCGGGCUCAAACUACAGGUUCUGAGUGGAAUGCAGAGAUAAUCACAGCAGAUGUUAAUAAGGGGGAUUCUAUGGAGAAUCAUCAGUGUGAGACGAGUAAGACGGGAAAGAUCUGCCUCCACACUGAAGUCUCUUAUAGACUACUGCCAUCUGCACAUCCCUAUGCCAAGAUGUGAUUCUGCCUGCUCAAUUUAUACAAUUUACUGCAAAAUUACCGCACUCAGCAAUGUCAUAUUUGAUAUCUGAACUUGUUUUUUUCUCAAACAUGCUUUAACAACAUUUAGUACGCAUGCACACACAUGCAACAUAAACCCAUUUUAUAUCCAAUGAUACAUUUACAUGUGAAUUUAUGCACAAUACACAACACAUUCAACAAUAAAAUGUCAAUUCAAAUUAAAUGUAAACAAUUUUGAAUAAAAUAAAAAUAUAGAUUUUUAAGUGUUGAAAUGCAAUUCUAAAUAGAAAAAGCAUCAGUAUUUACAGUAUUGUAUCAAAUAUUAUUCACACAUUUAAAAUAACUUUAAUUUGGUUUAAUUUACUGGAUUAAAAUCAAUCAGUCAGUCACUCAACCAAGAAACCAACCAACUGAGGAACAGCAGCUUAAUGCUGAUCUCUUAAGUAUCUUAGUAGCCAUAAAUCAUAAUGACUUUAUUUGUUGUUCAAGCACCCUGAAAAACUCUGUUUUCUGGGUUAUUACACUUAUGAAAACAACAAGCAUAGCCAUUAACAUGAUGGGCAUCUUUGCUGCAUCAAAAUGAAGAGUUGUUGAUCAACAGGAUGUAAAAAUGGUUUCUUGUGUGUUUGUCCACCGUUUGUUCACUCGCUCUCUUACUCUUUCUCUCUUUUCUUGUCUCUCUCACAUGGGUGGUGGAUUAAGUAACAACAAGUCAACAGAACAGGAAAUAAUUAUAAAGGAAAAAACAACUCAGUGGCUUCAUUUAGUAUAUAGCUUAUGUUCAGAAUCUGUUCUUUCAGGUACACUCAGAAAUUUCUCCUUAUUAAAAAAAUUAAGAAAUUAAGAAAUCUUCAUACAAAGUACAAAAACAUGAGAUAACAGUCAUAUCAAUUGCAUAAAAGCUGUUUUAUUUUACAUGUAACAGGCCACCAAAUGGGGGCAGAAAUGUUGAAAUUAGCAGUCUGUCCAGGUAUCCACAUGUGGUCUUUUCUCUUGAUCACUUGUCUACUUACAUGAUGUAUUUCCUGUUUUUAGUUGUGUGUGUGUGUGUGUGUGUGUGUGUGUUUAUAUACAUAUAUAUACCAAUAAGACUUUCAUUGACAUUUUUUUCUGUUUAAUGUACCUUGUUGGUACAAGCUGUACUUAAAUCAUCAACCCCUUUUUUUCCUGCCUGUCAUUAAAACAGUAAUGUUAGAAUGCAAAAAUUGCAAAUGUAUAUUUUAUAACUUUUAGGUUAGUCUGUGUCUGUGCCUUUUGUUUCAGUAUAACAUAAAAAGUUAUCACUUGAUCUUUUUUGGUGGUGUAUAUAUGGAACUAGCAGUCAUUUAUGUAAGAAUUUGGCUGUAUAUUGCAAGUUGCAAACACGUAAAAAUAAAAACCUCUCCAACUCAAUAUUUUCUAGUGAC
ensembl:lncRNA